CCAACGGCCCCAACGGUCCCAACGGCCGCGCGUGACCCCCCUGCAACGGUCGCAACGGCCGCGAGCGCCCCCCAACGGCCACGGUCGCCCCCCUCAGGGAGCCCAACGGCCCCGCGGGAUCCCUUGAAGGAGCCCGACGGCUCCAACGGCCCUGUGUGACCCCCCCCGGGAGCCCAACGGCCAUGAUCGCCCCCCCCGGGAGCCCAACGGCCCCAACGGCCGGGCGCGCUCGGGGUAAAGCCGGGGGAGAGGGGGGGGGAGCGUUUCCCGGGAGCCAGAACCGUUUCCCAGGACCCCGACCACCGUUGCCGGGACGCCGGGACUGUUCCCGGACCGUUCCCCAUCACCCGGCACCGCUCCCGGGACCCCAACACCGUUCCCGGGACUGUUCCCCGUCACCUGUCGCAGUUUCCUGGGCACCCGGCACCGUUCCCGGGGCCUCAGCCCCGUUCUGGGGACCGUUCCCCGUCACUCGCCACCGUUCCCCGUCACUCGGCACCGUUCCCAGGACCCCGCGACUGUUCCUCAUCACCCGGGACCAUUCCCUGUCACCCAGCACCGUUCCGGGAACCCCAGCACCGUUCCCGGGACCGUUCCCUGUCACCUGGGACCGUUCCCGAUCAUCCGGCACCGUUUCUGGGCCCCCAACACCGUUCUGGGACCGUUUCCCAUCACCCGGGACUGUUCCGGGAACCCCAGCACCGUUCCUGCGACUGUUCCCCGUCACCCAGCACCAUUCCCCGUCACCUGUCACUGUUCCCUGUCACCCCGCACCGUUCCCGGGACCCCAGCACUGUUCCAAGACUGUUCCAGGACUGUUCCCCGUCACCUGGCACCAUUUCCCUGUCACCCGGGACCGUUCCCGGGCCCCCAGCACCAUUCCGGGACCGUUCUCGAUCACCCGGCACUGUUCCCGGGACCCCAACACUGUUCCGGGACUGUUUCCCGUCACUCAGCACUGUUUCCCUGUCACCCGGCACCGUUCCGGGGACCGUUCCAUGUCACCCGGUGCCGUUUCCCCGUCACCUGGGACCAUUCCGGGACCCCAACACCGUUCCAGGACCGUUCCGGGACCGUUCCGUGUCACCCGGGACCGUUUCCGGGCACCCAGGACCGUUCCGUGUCACCCGGCGCCGUUUCCCCACCACCCAGGACUGUUCUGGGACCGUUCUCGAUCACCCGGGACCGUUGCCAGGGCCCCAACACCAUUCCGGGACUGUUCCAGGACUGUUCCGCGUCACCCAGGACCGUUUCCCC
rnacentral:lncRNA from 1 species